UUUUAUGCCAUCAGAUACCGUAAAAACGCUUAAGCUAAUUUUGAAGCAAUACAAAUAAUAAAAAAUAAAUGGUGACAUAGUACAUAAUCGCAACACGUUUUUUGUUUGAUGAUUUCAAAUUUUUAAAUUUCUAAAUUUUUCUUUUGCUUUUCUUUUACAGAUUUUGUCAAAAACUUUGCGGAAACAAACCACCACAGCAUGCUCGCACUACAGCAUUCUAACAUCAGGACUGGAAAAAUUGUAGAAAUAUUAACAGUUGUAGGAAAUCUCAGCAUUAUACUUACUACACAGAUCAUUUCGGUGUUGUGAAAUAACUGUACAAAUCAAUAGUAACUAGGACAUGGUGAGCUCCAGCGAGUCGAAUUCAUAAAAUGGUUUCGCAUCCUUGUUUCGCUAUUUCACUUCACUAAUAUUGCUGAAACUCUUAUUAAAGGCUUCAAUGCCAUACAAUUUCUUAUUCUUUACCAAUGAGUUUGUGGCCAUUUAUUUAAAUAAAAAUGUUCACAGCUUCCACCAAGAUAUAGCUAGACAAUAUAUUGCCAUAAACCUCUCAGAACAUCACAUAGACUUUAUCUCAAAGAAUAGUUAAAAUCUCAAAGAAUAGUUAAAUUUCCUUAACAACUGACAAAAAAAUUGGUAAAGAAUAUCGCGUUCUUCAGUGUAAACUAAUUCUUGUUACGUUUUCUUUGAGUGCUCCCAAAACCAGAUCCAAAGUACAAUAAUGAAUUUUUCCUUCGUAAAAAUAUUUCUAAAAUCAUGACUCGCACCACUCAAGUUUAAUAAAAAUGGUUACAUCACUUAUAAUAAUGGUGUUUCGGUUUUCAUUUUUAUAUUUCCAUUAUAUGUCUGUUAUAUAUCUAUUGUAUGUCCAUUAUAUGUUUAUUCCAUUAGCAAUUAUAUAAAGCUGAGUCUUGAACACAAGUAAUGCACCU
rnacentral:lncRNA from 1 species